rnacentral:lncRNA from 1 species
UGGGGACUAAGAAUCAUUAUUACUUCAAUCAUUUUAGCUUUGAAAAUGAUGGCCAAGGAUGGGCUCUCAAUAGUGCCCCUUUUUUUCACUUUCCUUUGCAAUUUAGAUUUCUUACAUAGUUUUUCUAGACUGUCUGUGUUUUCUACAAUACACUGAUAAAUUUUGAUCUUUUAAAACAUAUUCAAAAGAAAUUUAAUAUAACAACAACAUCUGUGUAUUUUUAAUGUUUAGCAUAGAACAAGUUUAAAAAAAAAAAACAUUCUAGUAAAGAAUCUGGAGUUCUUUUUUGGUUACUUUGGCUUGCAGUUGGUGUUUCUGAUGACCCCUUUUGUCUUACCUUACAGGUACAUUAGCCCCCA